rnacentral:rRNA from 1 species
UACGUAGGGCGCAAGCGUUGUCCGGAAUUAUUGGGCGUAAAGAGCUCGUAGGCGGCUUGUCACGUCGAUUGUGAAAGCCCGAGGCUUAACCUCGGGUCUGCAGUCGAUACGGGCUAGCUAGAGUGUGGUAGGGGAGAUCGGAAUUCCUGGUGUAGCGGUGAAAUGCGCAGAUAUCAGGAGGAACACCGGUGGCGAAGGCGGCGCCUGGGGUCGAUACUGACGCUGAGGUGCGAAAGCGUGGGGAGCAAACAGG